rnacentral:rRNA from 1 species
AUGAACGCUGGCGGCGUGCCUAAUACAUGCAAGUCGAGCGAACAGACGAGGAGCUUGCUCCUCUGACGUUAGCGGCGGACGGGUGAGUAACACGUGGAUAACCUACCUAUAAGACUGGGAUAACUUCGGGAAACCGGAGCUAAUACCGGAUAAUAUAUUGAACCGCAUGGUUCAAUAGUGAAAGACGGUUUUGCUGUCACUUAUAGAUGGAUCCGCGCCGCAUUAGCUAGUUGGUAAGGUAACGGCUUACCAAGGCAACGAUGCGUAGCCGACCUGAGAGGGUGAUCGGCCACACUGGAACUGAGACACGGUCCAGACUCCUACGGGAGGCAGCAGUAGGGAAUCUUCGGCAAUGGGCGAAAGCUUGACGGAGCAACGCCGCGUGAGUGAUGAAGGUCUUCGGAUCGUAAAACUCUGUUAUUAGGGAAGAACAAAUGUGUAAGUAACUAUGCACGUCUUGACGGUACCUAAUCAGAAAGCCACGGCUAACUACGUG